CUCUUCCCCCCGUCUCUGACCACCAGGUUGAUGACAACAAGAAGCUGGGCGAGUGGGUUGGUCUGUGCAAGAUCGACCGGGAGGGAAAACCCCGUAAGGUGGUGGGCUGCAGCUGUGUUGUGAUCAAGGACUAUGGCAAGGAGUCUCAGGCUGGGACGUGAUUGAGGAAUACUUCAAGGCCAAGAAAUGAGUGAUUAUAGGCUGUGGAGUGGAUCUGUGUUGGAAAUGAUUUCUGGUCACCGACAGCUGAUGUGUUGCGCAUUGACGUCCACAAGCGACUGGAAGAAGAAGUGAAAGGAGGGGAGACGCGAGAAGGAAUACGAAACGUGGCUGCUGGGAAAGUGAACUGUGUUUACGUGUGAUCAGGGGUGUAAUUCAUUCCACCGAUUCUGUUAAAUGUUUCUUACGCGGAGCAAAACGGGAAUGAACACACCUGGAUUUGUUCGUUAACUUGUUUUGAAUCUGUUGGACUGAUGACACCCUAUAUCAGCCAGAGUGUGCAAGGUGGUAUUGAAUGUCACUUUCUGCCCAUGUGCCAUCUCAAAUUUCUCUACCUGUGUGUACCUACACAGGAAACUUUCAUUCAUAGGUUAGGUUUUAGCAGCCUCAUACUGCUGUUAUAGUAAUAAGGCUUUGCUCAUGAUGGGGGGG